ACCGCCCUUCUCCCGAAGGACUCAGGGCGGUGAACAGGCAGAUAAAAUAUAAAUACACACAAUAAUUUAAAACAACCCUUAAAAAACUAAUUUAAAUGCCCAAAAUGUUAAAAAACAUACUCCCCUGUAAAAUAACACAAUUUUAAAAACCCAUCCAAUAAAAAUAAAAAUCAGGCUAGUCCAGCAGUUUUCACAUGCAGUUUCUUUAAAAGAAGUUGCCAACCAUUGAACUGAGUUGGCGUCUUUUUCUUUUUCCUAGCUCCACAUCCUGCUGCAGAUGAUGGUGAUGAUAUUAUUAUUAUUAUAAUUUACACAAAAUGACAGUAUACACAGCAAUCGAGAUAACUACGCUGGAUUUCGUAUCACAGAUCACUAGUCGAAUACUUUCCAAGUGUUUAGGACUGCGUGAUGUAUCAGCAAAUUAUGCGAGCAGAUAAUAAUAAUAAUAAUAAUAAUAAUAAUAAUAAUAAUAAUAAUAAUAAUAAUAAUAAUAAUAAUAAUAAUAAUAGCAAAAUUCUAAUUGCCCACACAGUUACAUGUGACUUAAGUACAUUGGGGAUUUGUUUUAUCUUCUCAGGGAGGGUCAACUGCUUAAAAGCUGCCUUUUCCAUUUGCAAUUAGUCUAAAACAGAUUUUAUCCAUUUAACAAAGGAAUGGCCUAUUUUUAUUUGUUAUUUUUUCAAAUUUAUACAGCCACUCCUCUUCACCAAACAAGUUGACUCCGGGCAGCGCACCACCGAGUUAAAAAAACAACCUAAAAAACAACAAUUCACCGUGGACUUACCAUCAAUAAUUCGCUUGACUCUCCAAAUUCUCAAGGGCAGAAAAGUGGCUACCCGCUGAAUGACUGCAAUGACUUACGACCAAACUGCGGUCGUAAAUGGAGGAUUACCUGUAAAACAAACAGCGCAAGGGGAAUUCGUGGGCUAAUCCUAAUUUUGUGGUAACGAUUCGUAUUUCUCUUACCUCUGAAAAGAAGACAGACAGGAUAACCAGACUGAUCCAGUGAAUGACGCCAGCAAAUUGUGAUGCGCUUGAAACUAAAACGAAGGACAAAAAAGCAAGUUAGAUAUGAGGCGUGCAACGCAUAAAAGCCAAAGCAGAAACGGUCAGUCUUAAAAUGUGUUUGAAAAUUAAAUGGAGCUGUCAUUUUCGUUCUUAUUCUUUACAUUCAUAUCACCAUUUUGGGAAAGCCGGUUCAAAAACCCGGAAGUCGCAGAAACCUUAAGAUGGGUAAAGAGAAGGUAUCAAUAAAAACAAGAGGGCAUAUAGCAGUGUUGGCGAGUGGAGGUUCAUGCGUGUGUGCGUGCUGGAAACCAGAAGAGGAGCUGCCUGGUGCGCAUGCACACGCCGAGAAGAUAAUUUUCUGGUUUAUGGCACACACCUUCAAGACCAGCUGGACAGUGAACAUGCGCAUGCUGGAAACCGGAAUAUUAUCUACCUGGUGUGUGCAUGCGCACCAGGAGGCUGCUCUUCUCGUUUCUGGUCCUCCUGCACAUGUGAAGACCAGCUAGCCGGUGUGCCAGAACCCAAAAGAGCAACAUGCCAUAGGUUCACCAUCACAGGCAUAUAUCGAUAUUCUGAUGAAAAGUUGUUCAGAAGCCCUGAGAGAGAAAGGAAUGGGCCGACUCGACGUGGCCGACACACUGCGGGACAAUUUAAUCCUUCAAUUUAAUUAUUUAAAAGAAAUUUUAAAAAAGUAUUUAAAUUUUUGUCAUUCCCAUUUCUGUCCCUCCUUUCGUUAACAAUUCUCUUCCAUCAUUUCUUUGAUAUUAGCGUAAACUUUUGUCCUGUGGGGAAUUGGCUGCAGCAAAUGAUCCUAGAUCGCUUGGAGAGUGCGAUUGAUUCAAAGACGAUACUAUGGGAAAUAAAGUUUAUAAAGGAUUUAGGGGAAUUUCCAGAACAUCGGGUUAUGAGUCAAAACGAACAUGAAUGAAGGCAAACAUAUGGGUCUCAGGAUAAUGCUUCAAGAUCCAAUCUGGGUCAUUCAUCGGGUUUUAGUCUUCCGAGCUCUUGGACUUGUGCUGGAGCACCAUCCUUAGGGAACUUCAAACUUCAAAGCUCAGAAGACUAAGUCUUUAGUCUCAGUGAACGACCCAAGUUGGAUCCUGCAAAACGGACACGUUUGAAGGAGGCAAUAUUUGCUCUGCACUGGUACCUCCAACUUAAGAAAGCCUCUCCUUUUAUAGAAGAAUUCCCUGAUAUAUUUUUUUUGAGAUCACACCUAUUACUAUAACGUGAGAAUAUAACAGUGACUGUUAUCACGCAAAGAAAAUGCAUAGAAAACCCUCCUGGCCAUAAGAAAAGAAGACAAAAUCAAUAUGGCAAUAAGCAGACACAAAGAGGGGUGUAUGUUUGUGUAUGUACGUCAGUGGUGAAAUCCUAUCAGUUCGCACAGAUUCGGGCGAACCGGUAGUGAUAAAAGCUACUGGUUCGGUAAAAAAAAAGGCUACCAGUUGGUCCGAACCAGUAUUUCUGAUGAUCAGCUGUGCCGCGUGAUUUAAAAUCGCUAGAAAGCAGGAAAUCCUGCUUUCUCGAGCAGCAAAGCUGUUCCUCCCCCUCGUUGUUCUACUUGCCUUCUGAAGCCUCCUUUUUCCGCACGUACUGUGCAUGUGCAGCAUGCAUUUGGCAUGUAUUGCGCAUGAGUGCACAGCGUGCAUUUGGUUGUAUUGUGCAUGAGUGUGCAGCGUCAAUUUGGUGCGCACUGCGCAUGCAGCCUGCAGAGGCAGCAAACUGGCGAGGAUUUCACCACUGAUAUACGUGUAUAUGUGCAGACACACCAACAUGUACCCACAUACAUUCCAUAACUGACAGCAGGAAUUUCACAGGAACCAGCCCCAAAACAAAAGAAGGGCAAAUACAACAGCAUUUAAGUGUUGUUUCUUAAACUUUUCAAAUCCUGCAAAUGAAAUGAUGGGUUUUUACGCUAGAAGAGCAAAUAACACAGAAACACAAAUUUGCAAAAGUGAGGCUAUAAGAGCCGUGUCUGCGUUUGUUUACAAAAAAUGGGGAAGGGGGAGGGGAAACAGAAACGAUAUUCAAAUAAAACCUAAUAAUUUUUAUUAUUACAAUGAGACAAUGAUAGUAUGGGCAAAACAAUUUUUUUGGGAUAUACUAUAGAAUUAGACCAAGGGCAAAAACUUGGGGAAAGGAAUUGUAAGUCGACAAUGGCAACUACAUAUAAGGAAAAUUAAUAUAAAAUGUUUUAUAGGUGGCAUUUACUAUUGGCCAGAUUAGCAAAGAAGUUUAAAAACAUGUCCGCCAGAUGUUGGAAAUGUAACCAGAUACUGGGUACAUAUACAUGCAGUGGACUUGUGAAAAAGCAAAGAAAUACCGGACAAAAAUACAUACAUAUUAAGAAAAAAAUGAUAAACCAAAAAUUAGAUUAUAAGACAGAAAUAUUUUUGUUAGGCAUAAUACUGGAAAAGUAUGACAAAGGGAAUCUAUAUUUAAUAUUACUACAUGUUCUGAGAGCAGUAGGAACUGUAUGUGCACAGUACUGGAAAAAUGAAGAAACACCUACAGAAGAAAAUGUAAUUAAAAAACGUUGGUUUGUGCACAAAUGGAAAAACUGACACUAAAAUUAAAAGAAAAAGAAGACACGGAGUAUUUUCAAACAUGGGCCUUGUUUUACAAAUGGCUGGACAGUAGAGGUAGAAAUCAGGAGAGGGAAAAGUAUUAUUAUAGACAAAAUAAAAUGACAAUCCGGACAAUACGCCGUGUCACUAUGCAUGUAAUGUGAAAAUAUAUAAAUAAACUGUUUAAAAAAAAUUGUAUUUUUUUUUGUGGCUGCAUGAGGUUUCAUGCCAUGUCGUACUUGGUAGUCUUUGUAAGUAUGAAAAAGGGUCAUAACUCAGUGCCGUCGUAACUUCAAAAGGUCACUCAACAAGCUGUUGUAAAGCGAGGACGAUGGUUUUUUUUCAAACAUUUCAGGAAGAGGGAAAAAAAUAAACCAAAGAAAAAUAACGGUAAA